rnacentral:lncRNA from 1 species
CAUAGCAUGCACUCCACAAUCCACAUUCUUAUUUCCCCACCACUCUCGUGGCUUAUUUGGGAAGUUGGAACCCUAUUUUUACCUACUUUCUUUCACUUUUUUCAGUUGUGCUCUGAUUUCACUCCUGCACGAUACGAAUACUCUUUUGUUGCAAUAAAAUUUCGAUAAACUUAAUUUGUACCAAUUGUAUAAGGGGAACGGCUUGGUGCUUUUAUAAAAAUAUUAGAAUCUAUCGCAAUUAAAAAGCUUUAAUGGUUUAUCAAUAAAUUAAUUAGUACAACAAACUUAAAUUUUACUUCAGUUGAUUUAUAAUAAUAAUUUUUUAAAAAAUA